GAUAAGGUGGCUGAGAUUAAGCGGUAAACUGUAAAUUUACACACGAAAUUAAUUUUCCCUUAUCA
rnacentral:tRNA from 1 species